rnacentral:rRNA from 1 species
AAUCAACGCUGGCGGCGUGCCUCAGACAUGCAAGUCGAACGAUUAAAGCUCUCUUCGGAGAGUGUAUAGAGUGGCGCACGGGUGAGUAACACGUAAGUAAUCUACCCUCGGAGUGGGGAAUAACAACCGGAAACGGUUGCUAAUACCGCAUAAUGCAGCGGCACCGCAAGGUGACAGUGUUAAAGAUUUAUCGCUUGAGGAGGAGCUUGCGGCAGAUUAGCUAGUUGGUAGGGUAACGGCUUACCAAGGCUACGAUCUGUAACCGGUCUAAGAGGACGGUCGGUCACACUGACACUGAAUAACGGGUCAGACUCCUACGGAGGCAGCAGUCGGGAAUUUUGGGCAAUGGGCGAAAGCCUGACCCAGCAACGCCGCCGUGAAGGA